rnacentral:tRNA from 1 species
UAGCUCAGUUGGUAGAGUGCUUGCCUCACAUGCACAAGGCCUGGGUUCAAUCCCCAG